CUUUUUCCACCGGAGCUUGCUCCACCGGAAAAAGAAGAGUGGCGAACGGGUGAGUAACACGUGGGUAACCUGCCCAUCAGAAGGGGAUAACACUUGGAAACAGGUGCUAAUACCGUAUAACAAUCGAAACCGCAUGGUUUUGAUUUGAAAGGCGCUUUCGGGUGUCGCUGAUGGAUGGACCCGCGGUGCAUUAGCUAGUUGGUGAGGUAACGGCUCACCAAGGCCACGAUGCAUAGCCGACCUGAGAGGGUGAUCGGCCACAUUGGGACUGAGACACGGCCCAAACUCCUACGGGAGGCAGCAGUAGGGAAUCUUCGGCAAUGGACGAAAGUCUGACCGAGCAACGCCGCGUGAGUGAAGAAGGUUUUCGGAUCGUAAAACUCUGUUGUUAGAGAAGAACAAGGAUGAGAGUAACUGUUCAUCCCUUGACGGUAUCUAACCAGAAAGCCACGGCUAACUACGUGCCAGCAGCCGCGGUAAUACGUAGGUGGCAAGCGUUGUCCGGAUUUAUUGGGCGUAAAGCGAGCGCAGGCGGUUUCUUAAGUCUGAUGUGAAAGCCCCCGGCUCAACCGGGGAGGGUCAUUGGAAACUGGGAGACUUGAGUGCAGAAGAGGAGAGUGGAAUUCCAUGUGUAGCGGUGAAAUGCGUAGAUAUAUGGAGGAACACCAGUGGCGAAGGCGGCUCUCUGGUCUGUAACUGACGCUGAGGCUCGAAAGCGUGGGGAGCAAACAGGAUUAGAUACCCUGGUAGUCCACGCCGUAAACGAUGAGUGCUAAGUGUUGGAGGGUUUCCGCCCUUCAGUGCUGCAGCUAACGCAUUAAGCACUCCGCCUGGGGGAGUACGACCGCAAGGUUGAAACUCAAA
rnacentral:rRNA from 1 species